rnacentral:rRNA from 1 species
CUACGGGUUGCUGCAGUGGGGAAUAUUGCACAAUGGAGGAAACUCUGAUGCAGCAACGCCGCGUGGAGGAUGACACUUUUCGGAGCGUAAACUCCUUUUAUAUAGGAAGAAGAUGACGGUACUAUAUGAAUAAGCGCCGGCUAACUCCGUGCCAGCAGCCGCGGUAAUACGGAGGGCGCAAGCGUUACUCGGAAUCACUGGGCGUAAAGAGCGUGUAGGCGGAUUAAAAAGUCAGAAGUGAAAUCCUAUAGCUUAACUAUAGAACUGCUUCUGAAACUCUUAAUCUAGAAUAUGGGAGAGGUAGAUGGAAUUUCUGGUGUAGGGGUAAAAUCCGUAGAGAUCAGAAGGAAUACCGAUUGCGAAGGCGAUCUACUAGAACAUUAUUGACGCUGAGACGCGAAAGCGUGGGGAGCAAACAGGAUUAGAUACCCCCGUAGUC